rnacentral:lncRNA from 1 species
AAGGUGCCCAUAGGGUGGUUAUAGCGUACACAAGGUACCCCAUAGGCUACCCCAUAGGGUGCCCCACAGGGUGCCCCAUAGGAUAUCCCAUAGGAUACCAUAAAUACCCCAUAGGAUACCCCAUAGGAUACCCCAUAGGGCGGCUAUAGGGUACCCCAUAGGGUGGCUAUAGGAUACCCCAUAGGGUGGCUAUAGGAUACCCCAUAGGAUACCCCAUAGGAUACCCCAUAGGGCGGCUAUAGGGUACCC